rnacentral:tRNA from 1 species
CCCUAGAAAGCCCCGGAAGCA